rnacentral:rRNA from 1 species
AGCGAACGCUGGCGGCAGGCCUAACACAUGCAAGUCGAACGAAGUCUUCGGACUUAGUGGCGGACGGGUGAGUAACACGUGGGAACGUGCCUUUAGGUUCGGAAUAACUCAGGGAAACUUGUGCUAAUACCGAAUGUGCCCUUCGGGGGAAAGAUUUAUCGCCUGUAGAGCGGCCCGCGUCUGAUUAGCUAGUUGGUGAGGUAAAGGCUAACCAAGGCUACGAUCAGUAGCUGGUCUGAGAGGAUGACCAGCCACAUUGGGACUGAGACACGGCCCAAACUCCUACGGGAGGCAGCAGUGGGGAAUCUUGCGCAAUGGGCGAAAGCCUGACGCAGCCAUGCCGCGUGGAUGAUGAAGGUCUUAGGAUUGUAAAAUCCUUUCACCGGUGAAGAUAAUGACUGUAGCCGGAGAAGAAGCCCCGGCUAACUUCGUGCCAGCCGCCGCGGUAACAC